CCCUUAGAUGUUCUGGGCCGCACGCGCGCUACACUGAUCAGUGCAACAAGCAUCCGUCCUUGGCCGACAGGCCCGGGCAAUCUUUGAACGCUGAUCGUGAUGGGGAUAGACUUUUGCAAUUUUUGGUCUUCAACGAGGAAUUCCUAGUAAACGCAAGUCAUCAACUUGCAUUGAUUACGUCCCUGCCCUUUGUACACACCGCCCGUCGCACCUACCGAUUGAAUGGUCCGGUGAAAUCUCCGGACUGGCGUGAGUCGGAGCAAUCUGACAAACGCCGGAAAGUUGAUUAAACCUUACCAUUUAGAGGAAGGUGAAGCCGUAACA
rnacentral:rRNA from 1 species